UACGAAGGGGGCAAGCGUUGUUCGGAUUUACUGGGCGUAAAGGGCGCGCAGGCGGCUAUCCAAGUCAGGCGUGAAAGCCCCGGGCUUAACCUGGGAGGUGCGUCUGGGACUGGGUGGCUAGAGUUCGGGAGAGGAGAGUGGAAUUCCCAGUGUAGAGGUGAAAUUCGUAGAUAUUGGGAAGAACACCGGUGGCGAAGGCGGCUCUCUGGACCGAGACUGACGCUGAGGCGCGAAAGCGUGGGGAGCAAACAGG
rnacentral:rRNA from 1 species